CCUUUCUCCCAGCCCCUAAAUGAAAAAUCUUAUCUCUUUCUCCCACGCCACACUCCCACCUAAACCUAGGUCACCUGCCGCCGCCGCCACCGCCGCCGCCGUUGCUUGACCUGCGUGCCGAUUUGGUCGCGUUGCCUCCUCUCCCAUCAACGGCGGCACCUCCCGCAGCUUCCUGCUACAAUGUGGUCCUUCCCCACGGUCGAAGCCCAAGGUGCCGCCUCAUCGUCCACAAAAGAGGAGCCCGUCCGCCGCAUGCAGCCAAGGGGUCGAGUCGACCGCGGCCGAGGAGCCGCGCCGCCAACCGCCAGUGUGGAGUCGAUCGCCGCCGAGCAAUACCGCUGUACUUCCUCAAGAUCCAGGCCGCUGUAGGGUGAUGCUGUCCGCAACCGAGGAGCCACCUUGCCCUCUGCAUCCAGAGGUUCUGCCCCGCCAUCCCUCUUCCACCACCGGCGACGGCUCUCCCCUCCCCUGCUCGUCUUGCCUCGCCCCCAAAUUCAGCCCGUGCAGGCUGGAAGGAUCCCCAACCAUGCUGGGUGCUAAUGCUUGAGGUAUGUACUGGAUGGAUUUGCUCAGCUAAAGAAACAAAUUGCAAUCAUGAAGUGUGUCGGCAAUUGGUUCAUAGUGGCUAGAAGCCUUUUUUUUAGUCUCAAACUUCCUGGGGGAGACCAGCGUGAUAUUUGUGCUUCACAUGAGAUCAUGCUAUCCAGCCACCUGGACCAUCUGAUGUGUUAAGGUUGAAAGUCUGUCCGUUCUACACAAAACCCCAUAUUUUUAUCUCUGUUUUGCAUGUGAUCCCACCACUUGUAUGGUUUUGAAUAAACCACCAGUGUGAACGUUACAUUUGCUAGUUCGGUACUCAUCCAUGUUCAGGCUGUAUCAUGUAGUGUACUCUGUAUAUUGCUUAAAAAGAAAACCAUACUCUGUAUUUUGCUAAAAAAAAGGGUUCUACUCUGCAAAUGCAAUCCAAUACUCAGUGAAAAUAUUCAAAAACUGUGUUACGCAAUUUUCACCAAACCUGCACGUUCCAUACCUAAAUUUUCAACAGCUCGAUCAGUAAUAGAAAAAAAACAAUAAGUGUUCAUUCAUAGUUUUCAGACAAAAUGUUUAAACGAUAGUUGGUAUUGUUAAGGCUCCCCUGUUACUUCUCAAAGCAACCACACCUUUUGUAGCAAAGUGUAUUAACCAACAGAGCCAAAUGUGAAAUAUAUAUAACUUUAUUAAUUGUUAGUAUGCAAAACCAAUAGCAGCUAAGUUCUGCUUAUGCUAAUAGUCUACAUGUUACUUUGAUGUUGAUGCUGCAUGCUCUGCUGCCAAUUUGAUUCUGCAUUCAGUACAUGUGAGUGAAGAAAGAAAGUGUUGUUUCUUUUCAGGCUAGUAAAGCAUCAUUGUGCAAUUCUGGAACAACUAUCACAUAUGUAUGGAACUAAUGCUAGCAAUGUAGCCGCCUGAGGAAGAGGAUGGAACUUUAUUUUCCUGCCUAACAUUUUGGAAUCUCCUUUUUAUAUGCCAUGCUUUUUUGAGCUAGUACAGAUAAAGAUCUAGCCGCAAAGAUAAGGUAAUUUGUUUCUAAUCUACUACACCUUAUAUGUUCAGUGGUACAAAGGGAACUUCUAUAUAUGCAAAUAUUCUCAACUGCAACAAAAUUGUUCAGUUGAGCUACUAAACUUGCUGACAGGAUAAUGCUCAGGGUUAGCAACUUGAAAUUUUUCUAGUUAACUAAAUAAAAUAUUCUGACAGUUUAAAAGUAUUUGUUUCAGCUAGACCACACCCUGUUUGUGUCAGUCCUAUAUUCUCCAGUUACACUAAGAACAUAAGUACACCAGUACGAGUUUGUUUAGGCCUCUACAACAUUGUGGCCAUAGUGGGUGGAUUAGGAUGCAACAUCUGUUUGUAUCCGUUGGUAUGGACAUUUUGCUGCUUGCUAGGAAAUGUUCGUCUCCAGUGUUGAACUGCUGGCCGAUGGUAAUUCUGACAGUUGAAUUUGCAUUGCUAACAUAUCCUGGUAUAUAUUUAGGAUCCUACGCUACUUAUUUAGAUUAUAAACUAAUUUGUCAUGUUAAUGUUUUAUGCCGGUAUAUGUGCCUGCUUACACCCAGAUUUGUUUUGCCUUAUGCAGAAACUACUGGAUACUUGCAUCAAGCUUGACCAAGGACAAAUGGCAGAAAAUAACAAGUCCACAAGUUGAUCUAAGAUGUUCCGCGAUCGCUUUUGUUCAUAACAUGGUUGACACCUUUUGAUCAUACGAAAGUUGAUGUUGGCUUGGUGAUUGAAGACUUGGUCUCUUCCAUAAUAUUUUGUAGUAGUCAAGUGAUCAAACAAUUGGUCUCUUAGGUUCUUAGCCAUCAAAUUUUGCAACAACUUGUCUUGUAUGUCAACUUAUGUAUUUCCUUCAUGGUUGUUAGCUAACAUGAGUGAAGAAAACAAAUGAAUCUUUAUAUAUGUUGAAUGACAUGUUGUGAUGAAUAGAAGACUGCCAUUGUUUGUAUAUGCAUUGUGUACUGAACAUGAAUUAAAUAUUAUGAACGUGAUCUAAUA
rnacentral:rRNA from 1 species